CCGCGUUACACGAGCGAGGCCACCACCGAGACGCAAGUCCUCCGGGGGUCCUAGACUUGCCCACGGCCUGCCUUCGGCCUGUCGGUCUGGGUGGGCGAUCUCAUCAGAUAACCACACUUUUGUUCUAAUUUUUUAUCUUUUUCUCCCUGCGUGCCUUUGUGGUCCGAUUCAUUGAUGCCUUCUGUUUGCAUUGCCCUGUCAAAGGCUUGGCAGAAGAAAAGAAAAAAGCCUUGGCAGUACGGAGAUUUAAAAAAAGGUAAAUAUCAAUAGGUAUCUUCUGCAUAAACGAAAUCUCUUUGGUGUCCUCAGUCAUUUUAAAGAGUAUGAUGGAGAUCUGGUGCCAAAAAUUUCAAAAGUCACUGUUGUAAGGUCUUGCAUCCCAUCCGUAACUGACAUUCUAAAGAAACCAUUUCUUUAGCCCAGCGACCAUUUGGAUUUGAGGGCGUGGAGCAGAAGCAUUCUAACUUAGACCACAGAGCUCAUCUUCCUGUGUUUACCUCAGCUGGAUCAAGAGGGGAAGGGGAAAAAGUCAGCAAUGAUCCUGCCAUCUCUGACCAGAAGUCCGCCACAGAGUGCUCAAUGUUGCUGGCCCAGGGAAGCAGCAAGGACCCACCACAAGGCUGGGGCAGACGUGGGUCUCUGUGUCUGGGAGGGGACUGCCACAUGCGAGGGGACAUUUUUGUUCUCAAGAGUCUGAGGUCAUUGGAAGUUUCUCAAGGCUGGACUUGGACUCAGAGAUAAGAGAGGGCCUUGUGAGCCAGAGUGGGGGCUCAUGGUGCAGUAUGGACCACAGGAGGGAAGGAUUCAUUGUGGCCCCAAAGCUGAUCCAAAGCUGAGCCAUAGGUCAGCAGGUCCUGGGCCCGGGGAGGGUGAGGUGCUGAGUCUACAGAUACAGGUCAGGGGUCUGGGCUGCCGGGAGGAGGGCAGGGCCUGACCUCAGUUCCCGUCAAUGCUCCCCGCGGAGCAUUUGGUGGACACCACAAAUGGAAGAAAAAAGAGUCAGAAGAACAAGGGAGCUGCCUUUAAUCAUUAGCUAUUGAGGACCUUGGUAUGUCAGACCCCAGGGCAAGAACUUGAGGAAGAGUGGAAAUUCCCAACCUGGGGCCUCACCAUUGGGACUUUGUUUUAGUAAAGUUCUCCAGAUGAUGCUAGUGGGAGGCCAAUGUUGAGAACCAGUGACAUACAUGUUAUCACUUAAUCCUUAUAACCUGGUGUUGGGAGGUGUUAUUAUUACGCCCAUUCUACAGAUAAAAAGAGAGAACUCAGAGGGUUUAGGCAAUUUGUUAAAGGCAGCAUGGCUAAUAGCUGACUAGUCUAAGAUUGCAGCAAAGCCUGGUCUGAUGCCAAAGUUCAUGCUGUUUUUACUCUGUCAGAUUUACACCAAGUUGAUAAAUACUUCUUGUCAUAACAGAACUGAAAGCAGAACCCUCAGUCAAGAAAUUCCAAUAUUGGCAAGACCUCCACCUUGAGUUGUGACUUGUUCCAAAUAAAAAGAACCUCAAUAUGAAAAUGCAUCUUAGAAAAGUAACAUACAUUAUAUGCUACCUUACCAUGAGUUCAACUGCACUGUACGGCAGGUCAUAAUCAUAACCCCCUUUUAGAGAAAAGAGAACAGAAGUUUAGAUGAGCUCAAUGAACUUGCCCAAGGUCAUAAGUGGAAAAAAUCAGAAGCUAAGCCCAGGACCCUUAAUUGUGACCACCAAGCCAGAGCUUUGGGAAAUGCACUAAAAUACAGAUAGAUACCACAGUCUGUGUCCCGACUCUACUCGCAAUUCUGAUGUGUAACUCUGGUGUGGGACUUGGGGCUCAGCAUUGUUAACACGUACUCCAGUGGGUUCUCAGGCCUCGGGGAGGAACACUACAUCCAGCCAGCCUGCAGAGCCCCGAGCUGUGAAGGUGAGGAGGCUGGAGGCUUGUUCUUUGCAACAUUCACAGGCGGUAGAAGCAGCACUAAAAGAAGAAGGCGGCACUAAAGCAAACCCCUUGAGCCCAAAGACCUCUCCUGUUUGCUUGUCACAGGGCUGAUGGAGCUCCAUCGUCAACAAGUCACUCUCUUCAGAGCAAAGUUCUAUGCUCCCUCCUCUCCCUACUUCCCCUCCAUUUAUACCCAUUUGCCUGACACUGGCAUUGAUACCCUCAGUGCCAGACACUGAGGAAGAGGAACUGAUUUUCACUAGGGUGUGAGUGACUCCAUGGAGCCUCAGGAUUCCUUCCCCAGGGCGCUGGCAGGAGCAGGGGCAUCCUAGAACCUUAUCCAAAGUCCUUAGAGGAUAGUCAUAGGCAUCGGAGUGAAGUUCCUGCAGGGCUAAGGUGACCUGGGAAGACCUGCUGUCUGCCCAUGGUCCUCCCUGCUUGUCCUCCCCUCCCAGCUUCACAGACGCUCCUCGCCCCGGAGCUCAGUGUCCUGCACUCUACCAACCUGCUUCUUCUCAAUCACCCUGUCCUCAGACAGACUUUGCAUCUCAGUCACUCCUCUGAUAACAGCUUAAAGAGAGUGCCAGUCAGCUUGAUGAAAGCCCAGAAGGCAAGGGAAGCCUGAAUUUCAAGAAGGGGGAAUAGUGAGAUCGAGGAAAAAUUGUUUAAAAUACAGGGAGUCAGUGUGUUUAUAAACUGUGAAAGUGUCAGGAAAAAGGACAAAAUGAAAUGUAGGCAGAGAAAAGAGAGCAAAAGCUACCUUCAGGGGCUCAGAUGGAAGAAUCAGCUUUUAAAAGGGAGCAAGGAUGGAGGGAGGGCUGUGCUGUUCAACAAAACCAGACUGGGAUGAGAGGGCAGGAAGCUGGCCAGAAAGCUCCUGUUCUGAGUUAGGAAGAGUCGACGGGCAAGGUGCUGGGGGCGGCAGGGUGAGAGGCAGACAGCCCUGCCUCCCACUCUGCAACAUGCUAUGAUCAAUAUUCAAAAUGCAUCUUUUUUUCUCCAACUGAACCUGCCUACACUUACUGUGACAGCUGUCUGAUGGUUUAUUUGCUGUUCAUCAUCUCCCGCACUGGCUGUAAGCUCUUGGAGAGCAAGAAUCUUGCUGCUCCCUCUACCACUCUUUCUAAAUGUCCAGAAUGUCACCUGGAAUGCAGUGGGAGUGCCAUACACAUCUGUGAAUAAAUGAAUGAAUGA